CACAGCAUGCCAAGCCAAGCAUCACGCUCUGCCCUCUCUCCCCUCACAGCGCUGCGCAGCUGCUUCCAGAGAAGCAGAAGAGCAGCCUCCUGUACGCCUGCAUCAGCAGCGUCUUUCACCUCCCUCGCCACGAGGACACAGAGGACCCGGACACUGCACUCUACACGGAGGUGCGCAAAGGCUGGGCCCUGGAGACGCUUCCUGGGCACCGCCACCUGGGAUGCCUCUCUGCUGCGAGCAGGAUGCAGCAGGGAAGGCCGCCCUGACCCCUGUCCUCCUUGCAGACCAUGGAAGCCCUGCACCGCCUGCUGCAGGGGCUGGUGGGCAGGGCCGGCGCCUCUGUCCUCAUGGAGCUGCAGAACAUCUUGGAGGUCUGUCUGGGGCAAGGCUGGGAUUUGCGCAGGUGGUUUGAGGCCGUGAAGGGGGAAAGCCACACAAGGCCCCCUCGGGGAGGGGUUGCUGGCCAGAGGCUGGCCCUUGCUGGGUUAGAAGGAAGGGUGGGGAGCAGUGGAAAGGCGGCGGGGCUGCAGCAGGACAGGGAUGCAACCAGCCGCCCCCACUGCAGCUGGGCAGCAAGCGGAAGGACGAGCACCCCAUGCUGUGUGUCACCAGCAGCUUUUAUCUCCACAGCUCCUGCUGCCCUUCACCAUGUGCCAGCUGGCAGCCGUGGAGGAGAGGGCCGUGGCGUGCAUUGCUAGGCUGCUCACCUUCACCAACACCUGCUGCUUGCCUGAGAUGUGCUGCUGCCUCAUAGGAGUCACGGUGUUCCAGCACAAGUGCAAGGAGAACCAACGCUUCCCCAUGCUGGGGAAGCUGGCCGCACACCUCAUCCUGUGCUGCACCUCCACGGAUGAGGCGACCAGAGAUGAGGCGAUGAAGGCUGUCCAUCAGCUUUUCAUCUUCAUCACCAGCCCAAGUGAGAGGAGUUGUGAUGGGCUAGGUCCCUGCAGACCCCAGGUGCCCAGGCUCCUCACUGACCAAUAUUGUGUGCGCUCCUCUGCAGGACUGUCGCUGGAGCAGAAAUAUCCUAAGAAGUCACAGGUCUGGGAGUGCCAGCAAACCUUG
rnacentral:lncRNA from 1 species